rnacentral:rRNA from 1 species
GCGACACAGGUAGAUGAGGAGAGAAUCCUAAGGCCGGCGGAAGAAUUGCAGUUAAGGAACUAGGCAAAUUGACCCCGUAAGUUCGCGAGAAGGGGUGCCUGCGAGAGCAGGCCGCAGAGAAUAGGCCCAAGCAACUGUUUAGCAAAAACACAGGUCUCUGCUAAAGCGUAAGCUGAUGUAUAGGGGCUGACGCCUGCCCGGUGCUGGAAGGUUAAGGGGAACACUUAGCGCAAGCGAAGGUGUGAACUUAAGCCCCAGUAAACGGCGGCCGUAACGAUAACGGUCCUAAGGUAGCGAAAUUCCUUGUCAGGUAAGUUCUGACCCGCACGAAUGGCUAAUGACUUGGGCACUGUCUCAACUGCAAAUCCGGCGAAGUUGUAGUGCGAGUGAAGAUGCUCGCUACCCGCGAUUGGACGGAAAGACCCCGUAGAGCUUUACUGUAGCUUAGCAUUGAAUUCCGAUAUUGUCUGUACAGGAUAGGUGGGAGACUGGGAAACUAGGGCGUCAGCCUUAGUGGAGUCAACCUUGGGAUACACCCUGACAGUACUGGGGUUCUAACAGGACGCCAUGAAGCUGGUGACUGGACAUUGUUAGGUGGGCAGUUUGACUGGGGCGGUCGCCUCCUAAAAAGUAACGGAGGCGCCCAAAGGUUCCCUCAGAACGGUCGGAAAUCGUUCGUGGAGUGCAAAGGCAGAAGGGAGCCUGACUGCGAGACCCACAAGUCGAGCAGGGACGAAAGUCGGGCUUAGUGAUCCGGUGGUACCUCGUGGGAGGGCCAUCGCUCAACGGAUAAAAGCUACCUCGGGGAUAACAGGCUGAUCUCCCCCAAGAGUCCACAUCGACGGGGAGGUUUGGCACCUCGAUGUCGGCUCGUCGCAUCCUGGGGCUGUAGUAGGUCCCAAGGGUUGGGCUGUUCGCCCAUUAAAGCGGCACGCGAGCUGGGUUCAGAACGUCGUGAGACAGUUCGGUCCCUAUCCGUCGCGGGCGUAGGAAAUUUGAGAGGAGCUGUCCUUAGUACGAGAGGACCGGGAUGGACUGACCUCUGGUGCACCAGUUGUUCUGCCAAGAGCAUGGCUGGGUAGCUAAGUCGGGAAGGGAUAAACGCUGAAAGCAUCUAAGCGUGAAGCCCCCCUCAAGAUGAGAUUUCCCAUAGCAUAAGCUAGUAAGACCCCUUGAAGAACACAAGGUUGAUAGGUCAGAGGUGGAAGUGCGGUAACGUAUGUAGCUGACUGAUACUAAUAGGUCGAGGGCUUGACC